rnacentral:rRNA from 1 species
GAUGAACGCUGGCGGCGUGCCUAAUACAUGCAAGUCGAGCGAACAGACGAGGAGCUUGCUCCUCUGACGUUAGCGGCGGACGGGUGAGUAACACGUGGAUAACCUACCUAUAAGACUGGGAUAACUUCGGGAAACCGGAGCUAAUACCGGAUAAUAUAUUGAACCGCAUGGUUCAAUAGUGAAAGACGGUUUUGCUGUCACUUAUAGAUGGAUCCGCGCCGCAUUAGCUAGUUGGUAAGGUAACGGCUUACCAAGGCGACGAUGCGUAGCCGACCUGAGAGGGUGAUCGGCCACACUGGAACUGAGACACGGUCCAGACUCCUACGGGAGGCAGCAGUAGGGAAUCUUCCGCAAUGGGCGAAAGCCUGACGGAGCAACGCCGCGUGAGUGAUGAAGGUCUUCGGAUCGUAAAACGCUGUUAUUAGGGAAGAACAAAUGUGUAAGUAACUAUGCACGUCUUGACGGGACCUAAUCAGAAAGCCACGGCUAACUACGU